AUUGAACGCUGGCGGCAUGCCUUACACAUGCAAGUCGAACGGUAACAGGUCUUCGGAUGCUGACGAGUGGCGAACGGGUGCGUAAUACAUCGGAACGUGCCCGAUCGCGGGGGGAAACGAGGCGAAAGCUUUGCUCAUACCGCAUACGAUCUACGGAUGAAAGCGGGGGGUCUUCAGACCUCGCGCGGACGUAGCUGCCGCUGGCAGAUUAGGUAGUUGGUAGGAUAAAAGCUUACCAAGCCGACGAUCUGUAGCUGAUCUGAGAGGAUGAUCAGCCACACUGGGACUGAGACACGGCCCAGACUCCUACGGGAGGCAGCAGUGGGGAAUUUUGGACAAUGGGCGAAAGCCUGAUCCAGCCAUGCCGCGUGCAGGAUGAAGGCCUUCGGGUUGUAAACUGCUGUUGUACGGAACGAAAAGCCUCUUACUAAUAAAGAGGGGUCAUGACGGUACCGUAAGAAUAAGCACCGGCUAACUACGUG
rnacentral:rRNA from 1 species